rnacentral:rRNA from 1 species
CUUGGUCAUUUAGAGGAAGUAAAAGUCGUAACAAGGUUUCCGUAGGUGAACCUGCGGAAGGAUCAUUAUUGAAAUAAACCUGAUGGGUUGUUGCUGGUUCUCUAGGGAGCAUGUGCACGCCUUGUCAUCUUUAUAUCUCCACCUGUGCACCUUUUGUAGACCUUCCAGGUCUAUGUUGCUCCAUUUACCCCAAUGUAUGUUAAUAGAAUGUUGUGUUUAUAAAAUCUAUACAACUUUCAGCAACGGAUCUCUUGGCUCUCGCAUCGAUGAAGAACGCAGCGAAAUGCGAUAAGUAAUGUGAAUUGCAGAAUUCAGUGAAUCAUCGAAUCUUUGAACGCACCUUGCGCUCCUUGGUAUUCCGAGGAGCAUGCCUGUUUGAGUGUCAUUAAUAUAUAUAUCAACCUUCUCUUGUUGGAGUGGUUUGGAUGUGGGGGUUUGCUGGCCUCUUAAAAGGUUCAGCUCCCUUGAAAUGCAUUAGCAGAACGGACUGUUCAUUGGUGUGAUAACUAUCUACGCUAUUGAAUGUGAGGGGAUGUUCAGCUUUCUAACUGUCCUUGGACAAUUUAUCAUUUUAUGUGACCUCAAAUCAGGUAGGACUACCCGCUGAACUUAAGCAUAUCAAUAAGCGGAGGA